AUACGGAGGAUCCGAGCGUUAUCCGGAUUUAUUGGGUUUAAAGGGUGCGCAGGCGGAAUAUUAAGUCGGCGGUGAAAGUUUGCAGCUUAACUGUAAAAUUGCCGUUGAAACUGUUAGUCUUGAGUGCAAGUGAGGUAAGCGGAAUGUGUAAUGUAGCGGUGAAAUGCUUAGAUAUUACACAGAACACCAAUUGCGAAGGCAGCUUACUGGUAUGUAACUGACGCUGAGGCACGAAAGCGUGGGGAUC
rnacentral:rRNA from 1 species